AUUGAACGCUAGCGGGAGGCUUAACACAUGCAAGUCGAACGAGUGGCGGACGGGUGAGUAAUGUUUGGGAAUCUAGCCACUGGAGGGGGAUAACUACGGGAAACUGUAGCUAAUACCGCGUACCAUAGGAUGAGCCCAAGUUGGAUUAGGUAGUUGGUGGGGUAAAGGCUCACCAAGCCGACGAUCUCUAGCUGGUCUGAGAGGAUGACCAGCCACACUGGAACUGAGAUACGGCCCAGACUCCUACGGGAGGCAGCAGUGGGGAAGAUGGCGCAAUGGGGGAAACCUGACGCAGCCAUGCCGCGUGAAUGAAGAAGGCCUUCGGGUUGUAAAGUUCUUUCGGUAGGGAGGCGUUAACUACAGAAUAAGCACCGGCUAACUCCGUGCCAGCAGCCGCGGUAAUAC
rnacentral:rRNA from 1 species